UUUUUUCUUCUAAUUUUUUUUAACUAAAAGUACUUUUGGGUACUAAAUCAAAUUCCUUCCCAUUUAAAGAGUACAGCAAACCAUUGCAUGUGCAAGGUGCCUACUCAAAUGAAUGGGACUAUACACAUAUGUUACAGGCUCACGUUGUACACGUAAAAUACUGCAGAAAAGAUUUAUAGUCCUUCUAAUUUCAAGAGAGACUAGAUUCUUGAUCCUUCCCAUCUUCAGAAUUGUUUGAUAACUGUUCUCGAACACAAUUAACGAGUUGAGAAGCUCUAUGGUCGAAAUUUAAGGGUCUCCUCCGUAAACUCUCGGUGGUCCAUAAGCAAUCACGUGCCUUACGAGGUAUUAUAUGGAUGUGUGUGUGAAAUAUUACUUGGCCUGCAGCUGCACCAUUAUUAACCAAUAAAUUGAAAGAAUUGGAAUCAGUGGCUUUCAUGAUUGCGUUGCCAAUAAAAGGUACCUUUGAACACAUAGCUGCAACCACAGAUGGAGGAGUGGCUUCCAAGGAAGAAAAAUGAGACUUUGGGAUAAUAAGAGAGUGCCCAUAACUCAGCGGAUUUGUAUCCAAAAUACACAGGCACGUAUCAUCUUCAUAAAGCUUAAAAGCCGGGGAGUCCCCGAGAAUAAUCUUGCAGAAAACGCAGUCGUUUUGCAGAAUCCCCUUGUCGUCAGAAAGGCAGUUAAAAGGGGAAAAAGGGGUAGCACGAGGAGGUAUGGGGCGGAGAUGGGAGCAGAGGAUGGCAAGCCUCCGUGUCUCCAUUCAGGCGAAAUCGGCUAGAUGGUCAAGAAUCGGCAGGGUAGCAAAGUGCGUCGCCAUAAUAAAAUUUUGCAGAGAGAGCGGAGACAAACGGUAGAAAGGUGGAGUGUUUUUUCAAGAGAGGUUACUUUACGGUUGUUGGUUUGCUUAUCCUCU
rnacentral:misc_RNA from 1 species